GGGAAUGUGGCUUAGUGGUAGAGUGUUUGUCUAGCAUACAUGAAGCCCUGGGUUCAAUUCCUCAGUACCA
rnacentral:tRNA from 1 species